rnacentral:rRNA from 1 species
CUCGGAAGCUAAGCAGGGUCGGGCCUGCUUAGUAUCUUGGAUGGGAGACCACCUGGGAAUCCCGGGUGCUCGAGG